rnacentral:rRNA from 1 species
CGUAGUUGGAUUUCUGCUGAGGACGACCGGUCCGCCCUCUGGGUGAGUAUCUGGCUCGGCCUUGGCAUCUUCUUGGGGAACGUAACUGCACUUGACUGUGUGGUGCGGUAUCCAGGACUUUUACUUUGAGGAAAUUAGAGUGUUUCAAGCAGGCUUACGCCUUGAAUAUAUUAGCAUGGAAUAAUAAGAUAGGACUUUGAGUCUAUUUUGUUGGUUUGCGAGUCAAAGUAAUGA